AAGUGUUAGACUUCUUGGUGGUUUUGAGUAUCAUUGGAUCAAUGGGUCCAAGUGAGAGAAGCUAUUUUUUGUCCCAGAGUGCCCCAGAGUGAUUUUUGCCGAGAUGGGUGUGAGGUCUCAGUUCCUGGAGGAAGUGAGCAGAAUUAACAUUUAAAUACUUGUUGAACUUGUAAUUUCCAUCCCUGAGGUCAGACAGGCAGCUGUUCAAUCCCACUGUCAACACACACCAAUUGACUCCACUGUGACCAGUUAGGUAACCUGACUCCCAGCUUUCUCACAUGUAAACGGCAGUAAUAAACAUGCCUGUUUUAUAGGGUUAUAAAAAAAUUACAUGAGGUAUUGGGUGAAAAAAAAUGUUUAGCACGGGAUCUGGUAUACAGGACGUACUCUCUAUGUUUUGAUGUGUUUGCUUAUUAUUAGCAUGUGCUGAAGUCAUAGUUAUGCAACUUUGGAACUGGGGGAAGCCUUAUAGGUCAUUCAGGCCAAACGGAUUACUUGAUGGAUGGGGAAGGUGAAGCAAGGAGAAGAGGCUUGCCCAAUAUCACACAGUUUGCCGUUUGAUCAAAUCUGGAGCCCAGCUGGCAUAAGGAAGACAUCGCCAGAAGCCUUAGAUCCAUUCCAUCCAGCACUGAAAUGGAGAGACCACAGGGAAUGGUGACAAGUGAAAACCGCAAAACUCUCAGCACAUAUGGCUUUAUCCACCCCCCACACCAAGAGUCUUGAACAAGCUUGAGCAUGGCUUCUGUUAGCUGGAGGCCAUAUCCCUGGGAUAACAACUCCAGUCCCCUUUAUUUUUUUUUUCAACGUUUAUUUAUUUUUGGGACAGAGAGAGACAGAGCAUGAACGGGGGAGGGGCAGAGAGAGAGGGAGACACAGAAUCGGAAACAGGCUCCAGGCUCUGAGCCAUCAGCCCAGAGCCUGAUGCGGGGCUCGAACUCACGGACCGCGAGAUCGUGACCUGGCUGAAGUCGGACGCUUAACCGACUGCACCACCCAGGCGCCCCUACUCCAGUCCUCUUUAAAUGGCCACCUGAGAAAGCUCAAAGCUACCAAAAGAAUUUACUAUUUGUUCUAGCCAAUACCUGACUCUAUGCCCCUGACCUCACUUUUCUUAGAGGAUUUACGUUAGAAAACUUGCAACUGUGAAUCCUUUCUUCGUCCCUUGAGACGUAUCUUCUGCAGUCCAGACAUAUCUGUCCCGAGGACCUGGGAGCCAUCCCUUGGAAUACAAUCAGCAAGAAGAUAGAGCCAGGGCCUCCCCGUCUCUGUGGGUGGGCGGGAGCCAGCCUAACUUUGACAAAAGCCGCAGAGGCCUCAGCACAUGGGCCACCCGCCCUUAGUGUCCUUUGGUACUUCUCCUUCGGCACACCCCAGCAUUUAAAAAGCCUCCUGUUUCUUGUUCGGUGGGGUUGAGCUCAGUUUACACACUGAAGUCUCUCCCUUACCACAGUCGGCUCCAAUAAAGUCCGUCUUGCCAUUUUUAACAAGGGUCCUGUGUGAAGUUUUUCUUUUACUCAAGCUCAGGUUCCGGGACUUGAAAGACACAGGAGCAAGUCUGGGCUCACACUCUUCUACUGACAUCGCUAUAGACAAAGGACUCCUUUGCCUGAAGCUUUAACUUUGUAAGUGCAAAAUGAGGGUACUAAAAUAUAUUUCACGUUUCUAAGUGGUUGCGAUCAUAGAACUGCAUAAUGCUUUAGAAAUGCUCCAGUGCUAGAAAAUAUGAGAGGUUUUUAUAGUGGAUACAUUUUAGAUCAGGGCAAUCUUUGAAAAGAAGGUACUGCUGACUCACAACUAGCCAAUGACAGGGAACAUCCUGUGCCGGGCCCCUAAUUUAUUUUCUUCUCUCUUCUUCCUCGUAAGUCAAGCACCGAAACCCAAGAUUUAUACCACCCUUGAAAAUAUACCGGUCUUGGGUUUAGGAACUACAUCUUUGCGACUGUAUUUUUUUGCGAUUGUGUGUCUUUACUAAGUGCCAAUGUGGUUCCCCAGUAGGGACAACCCACUGACUUGAUGGCAGCCAUUUCUGCACUGGCAGAGGUGAGUUGGUGAGUGCCUGACAGGUCACCCCACAAAAGGUGAUAAAAAAGAGGCCCAGACUGAGGUCAAGUCAGGAGAAUGGUGUCUGCCUUCCCUCCCUGCCAGAGAUUAGCCGUCUUCCCUUCUAUGAUGCUACAGCUGUUGUGUAGGUCAGCAGUGACCUUCUCAGCGUGAGCUCCAGUCCCUGCCUUCUUGCCCUUGUGCAGUGGCGGGCAUUGAAACCCCUACCUCUCUUCCCUGAGUCAAGCGUAGAGACCAGGAGAGGCCAAGAGAAGUUUCUGCUCCUGGGGCUUGGGAGGUACCAUGCCGGGGUGGGCGCUAGCCUAGCGUGCUCCCUCACUUAAGUUACGGUCCUGACCUGCUUUCCUGCGAUGCUUGCUCAGUUAACACGAGUAGACUUUUCUGCCCCAAUUUCCAUCCGAGGCUGCCGGUGUAUAAAUCCUAGCCAUUUUGCCUAAGCCUAGACACUCUGCCCGUGUCUUGCCAUUCCCCUCUUCUUGGGGCACCAGAUCCUGUCUGUCUCUCCUCCCCACCCCCAGUUAGUCCGGGGGUUCUGCUCAAACAAGCAGCUCAUCGGGACUAUGCCACCCUGCUGCCGUACUUACCAGAGAUCACCUCACUUUUGCCUGCGGGCUCCUACUUCACGCCCUACCUGUCAGGCUGGAUCCCCUGUUCUGGACCACCAGCUCAGCUGAGCUGGGUGUUGACAUUCCUGCAGAUGACACGGUUUGAGCUCUCAGCCACACGGUCCCAGUCAGCUUGCACGUCAGAGAAGUUCCCCUAGUGCUGCCCCUGCUCUGUGUUCUCCGCCGUUAGCUUCUCACAGGGGCCUCGAGGGGAGAUCUCAAAAGAUCUUACAUAAAGUCUGGCUUUGGGCAACUUUUUCUGGAACUUCUUCUGACUGACUCUGACACACAAAUCCCCCCCCCCCCCCCCCAUUGCUUUUCAAACAGCCGCCUCCUCUCUGACGAAGACAAAGUGUCUUGAUUUUGCCAACCCACAUCUCCGCUCCUACUUCCCUCCUAAGCAUGGGAGAAUUUUAAUUUGAAGGGCAAUUCAAUACAUUAUCAGUUCUGAGACCUCCUGUCGUCAGGGUUCCAGUAGCUUGUAUUGUAUUUAAAGUACUUGAUGGAAUGCUAAUUUGAUCUUGGCCAAUCCUUUUAUUGGACAGAGCUGAGCAACUUCAGUGAGUUUAACACUUAAAUAUAUCCUUCUAAGUCCUGAGGAAAACAAAGACCUACGCUGAGAUUGCAAAGAAACACAGUGCCAUCUGAAUGAAUGCCUUUGAGAUGAAGGGCCUUCCUUCAGAGCCUCAACUGGAAGAGGUACCCUGUGGGUGUUUAAUCUUCUUGGGGAGCAGGUGGUGCUGCAAUUCAGAUUUCAGUCCUUCCUCUUUUUUGUGUGAAAUGCAGUACUUAAGGUAAACGCAUCAAUAAUUAAGCUUAGCACCUUUAAGUUUUUCUAACUAUGACAAGGGAUGAUGAUAACAGCUGGGGGGUACUGUCCCAUAAUUGAGUCACCGGGCAACUCUUUACCCUCUCCCGGCCUCAAUUCACUCAUAUGUACAAUAGAGGUAUUGGGUAGUAUCUUUCAAGUCGUUCCCACUCUACGAUUUUGGGAGAGGGGGGAGUCCAUUGGCCUCAUUACUCAGCAUUGUUGAAACUUGAGUUUAAAUCCAAGCCAGAGUUUGUGUCUGUCUUCAGAUCACUCUUGGCUACAAAUUUUCUAAAUUCCAAACUCUCUAUUCACUCAUAAAAAUUAUUAGGCUCCUCAUAUGCAUAAGAUUAAAUUUGUUGCAGUUGGUGGAAAGUUGUUGUGGAGUCGCAUGUAAUUACCUUCUGGGAUCUGUUGCUUUGGGUCCCCCCAAGACUGAGCCAGCUCCCCCCUUCACAGAACAAACCUUCAGACCCGAUUACAAUAUUGUUCCUCCUUCAGAGAGAUCCGCAAGAAGCAGAGGGCAAGGGAGACGAUUUCCACCUUGAACUCUGACCUGCACGGAUGCGUUUCCAUUCUUCUUGAUAUGAAAGAGACUUUGGAAGUCCUCUGACCCAUUCUACCCCCUUAUGUUACAGUAAGGAAACCAAGACUCAGAAAGGAGAAGUAAAGUAGUUAGAACAUUGCUGGUUAGAACCGAAGCACACAGAGAACCGACUCUGCCACUUGUUAGUUGUGUGACCCCAUCAAAUUACUUAAUAUUGGAUGCCGCCAUUUCCUCAUUUACAAAGAGGUUAUAAUAAGCACCAAUUUCAUAGAGUUUUGCAAAGGAUCGAUGAUAAAAUGUAAACAAACACGUAGCGGAGUGCCUAGCAUAACUUAAACACUCAAUAAAUGUCAAAUGUAUUUAUCCCAGUGCUUUGGGACCCACCUCCCCAUCUCCUGCUGUCUUUGAUUAUACAAUCAGAGCUUUUAUUUUAUGGCUCCAGAGAAAAGCUAAGUGAAAAAUGACAGUGUCUUCAGUGUCAAGAAUGGUUGAUUUUCUUGAGACGAAACAGCUAAAAACAAAAAUUAAGGUGAGACCGAUGGCUAGACUUUGAUGUAAAUAAACAGUCUGAGCGUGAAGAUUGCUGGUAACUGGCUCCUAAUUACAGAGGUUGCUGGAGGAGACAUCGGGAUAAUCUUACAGAAACAGUUACGGAGGGCAGAAGAGGGCUGUGCUAAAUGAGGCACAGGAUGUGCAGGGUGUGGAGACAGGUGGUGGUCCUGGCAUGUGAUUAGGAAGGGGAGUGGUAAGGGAGGUGUCUGCCAUAGUCAGGCAAUGGUGGUGACAUUGGGCAGCAGUCUCAGGACAUCAGAUGCAGACGUGAAGAGGGCACUGGAGCGAGAAGGCAGAGUUUCAGUCCGAAAGGCAUUCAAGAACUCAAGGGCUGGUUUAGAAGUUCCAGUGGGGAAGUGCCUGAUGGCUGUCGACUGAGGAAGGUCACCCUCCAUGUCCAAGCAUCGGAGAAAUAUCCCUGAAGCAGUACGUGGGGAAAGGGACCACCUACUUGAGUAACUGGAGAAGUGCAUCGAAUCUUGUCCUUCGAUCAGGGCUCAUACAUUAUUGCCAGAUCCCCUUCUUGUUCAUCUGAAACAGAGAGAUAUUGGUAUGCUUUCCAGAGAGGCCAAGGGGGGCCCAGCCAGGGACCGAAUUUAUGGGCCAAUGAUAUGGCAUGGGGCUUGGUCAGAAGAUUAAGACAGAAAUACACCAGAUAGGGGUCGUGGACAUAAGCAGGCUGUGUUAAUGCUGGGUACCCUGCGCUCUUGGCAUGGGAAAGCUUAAAUCACCGCCCCCCACCCCCCCUACAGUGAUAGGAUUGGUCUUUGGGGUCAGAUAUGAGACCAUAUCAGUAGGGGGCUAGUGAAAAUGGGGUGCGAGGAGGUACGGAUAGCAGCAGCUAGGACCGGAGAAGUGGGGAGCAGUAGUCUGUUGAAACUCUUUCUGCACGUACCUUGCACACAUCUCUGUUACAACGACCAUAAUAAUCUACCCCAUGACCGUGACCAUCUUCUGUCCGGUUCUCUAGACAACAAAAUAUUUAAGGCAGAGAUUUCGAAAGACCGCAGUUAAGAGCAUUCACUCUCAAGCAACACAGCGUGGAUUCACAUUCCAGCUCUACCAGUCCCUAGCUGUGGGACCUCAGGCAAGUUUCUUGAACUUUCUAGGUCUCAGUGUUCUCAUCUGUGAAACGGGGAUAAUAACCCUCCUCACUGGUGCAGAGACAAUCACAUUAGUUAAUAAAGCAAUGAGAUGGUUCCUAGCAUAUGGUGAAUGUUAUGUAAGUAUGAGUUAAAUAAAUAAUCGCGUACCUUUGUCCCCGGCCCUUGGAAUGGUGCUCAUUUUCAGUGUUUGAUGAAUGAUUGUUAAAGUGAAAAAUUAAACGACAAGGCUGAACAUUUUGCCAAGCGGUGGUUGGAACGCUAAAGUCCUGGAAUACAAUCUGUGACCUCACCUUAACCCAAGACACCAGCACCGUGGGGUGCUGAAUUGGGUGAGAUAAUCCCAGCAUCCAGCUAUGGAGGCAGCAGAGUGGUCACCAUGAAUUAAGAGUGGUCACACAAGCAUGAUUAAUCCCAUGAAUUAAUAAUAAUAAUAAUAAUCCUGUGAAUUAUUCCAUCCCAUCAGGCCUCCACAGGAAACAAUGGCUGUUGGUCUCCCAGCUCCUACCCCACCCACCUUCUUUCUUUAUGAGGCUCCAGGCGCAGGUACAGAUAGAAUGACAAGGGCCCCGCGAGGAGAAUAUCUGCGUGCAUAGCCUCUUGAGCACAGGAAGCGUGGCUUCUUGUCAAAAUGUCACUUAGUUCCAGGAGACAAGGCCUCAGCUUCCCCUCUGUUUCAAACAGGAUCAUACCCCCCACUUCAUGGGGCUCUGGUGAGGAUAAGAAGAAACCGUAUGGGAGAAAGUAUAUUGAAAGAGUAUUUAAUGUACAAAUGCAGCGCACAUAAUUUAAAAUUGCACUAUUUACAUAGCCAAUAGGUAGUUUUGUUUUGUUUUGUUUUCUUUGUUUUGCUUUGCUUUGCUUUGUUUUGUUUUAUGUUUGUAAUCAGCACUCCUGCCCAACACACAUCAUGAAUUAUAUUGUAGAGGGUUUGUAUGAAACUGAUAGAGUUCAGUUGCUUUUUGAAUCUGAGUACAUACAUCUAGGUAUUAACUGAGUCAACAUAAAGCACUUCUAAAGGUUUCUUACCCUGGUAAGUACUAUGUAAGUAAAGGCUGAUGUGUAUGCAGAAAUGACAGUGUAGGGGAGAGUUCUGGACCACACAGAAUGUUCUGUGGAAAGUUUUGUGGUUCCUACCCAGGACUCAAGAUCUGGCUCUAUAUUUCUGUUUCCUUGUUAUUAAAAUGCUGAUGUUUAUACUUAUUCUGCCUACUUGAUACAUGGGGUAGUGUUGAGAAUCACAGUAGAGAUGUUAGUUGGUGAAUGAGUUUUAUAAACUAUAGUGUACUGGGUACAUUUUAGACAUUAUUCAUCUUGUAUGUGUCAGUGUUGAUAUGCUGCUUCGCCUGUUCAUUUCUUUUCAAACAUUUCUAUUCCUUAUUCUCUUCUUCUCUCCCUCUCUCCCCCUCCCCUCUUGCAGUUGGAACACAAAAUAUCAGUCAGGGUGAUUAAUCAGUUUCUAGCUACCUUUUAUAGUAUUUGCUUUAAAAGGUACCUUAUAACUAUUAGGGCUUGGAAAUAUGUAAUUGCACACACACACACACACACACACACACACAUUGAAGCUCUGAUACUUGCUGUCCAAAAGGAAUCAAAUAUCCAGCCUAAGCGCGAGCAAAACAAUGAACUAUUCGACCUGGAGUGAUCGUUCUGACCUGCAAUGUAUUGGACUUGAUCAGCUGAGCUGGGAAUAGGAGUUAGCCAUUAAUAGGAUUAGAAAGAUUAUCUAAGACUUUGCUUCAUAACCUGCGUGUUGAAAUCUGUAUUGGUUUUUAAGAUACUGAACCUACUGUGAACUUUUGCUGCCCGUCAGAGCGGCUUCCUCAAGUUUCUCUAUUCAGAGUGGAGUCGAAUGGCAUUUAAAACAGCAGUUUGCCCCCAUUCUGGUACCUUUUCCAGGAGAAAUGAAUGGGAUUCAAGGUUGAGUGGGAAAAACAAGAUGGCGGCCGUAAGCUGUUGACACUACUCAAGCUCUAACACGCAGCAUGACGUUCAACGUACACUGGAACAGCAGUCCUGAUCCCAGGGCUGCCACUACCUAGCUGUGUGAACUUGGAAAAGCCACAUGGACUCUCUGAACCUCAGUUUCUUGAUCUGCAAACUGGAAAGAAUAGCACCAACCCCACCUAUUUCAAGUUUGCUCUGCAUCUUGUAUGUGAUCCUGUCCUUUGUUAACCAGGCCAUGCAGACAAACCCAAAGGACUAUGAAAACACCUAGAUCUUCUAAUAAAGAAAGUGAUGGCUU